UGGAGGACUGAGAAGGUGGAGCAGUUCUGUACCAUGCUGCCUUCCAUUGGUUAAGACCUCCAACAGUAAAGGGCUGGCCAGCCACAGAAUGUCCUCUCCAUCACCAUGGAGGGGCAGCCCUGAGCUGGCCCACAUUGU
ensembl:snoRNA Snora47 small nucleolar RNA SNORA47